rnacentral:rRNA from 1 species
GAUGAACGCUGGCGGCGUGCCUAAUACAUGCAAGUCGAGCGAACAGACGAGGAGCUUGCUCCUCUGACGUUAGCGGCGGACGGGUGAGUAACACGUGGAUAACCUACCUAUAAGACUGGGAUAACUUCGGGAAACCGGUGCUAAUACUGGAUCAUAUAUUGAACCGCAUGGAUCAAUAGUGAAAGACGGUUUUGCUGUCACUUAUAGAUGGAUCCGCGCCGCAUUAGCUAGUUGGUAAGGUAACGGCUUACCAAGGCAACGAUGCGUAGCCGACCUGAGAGGGUGAUCGGCCACACUGGAACUGAGACACGGUCCAGACUCCUACGGGAGGCAGCAGUAGGGAAUCUUCCGCAAAGGGCGAAAGCCUGACGGAGCAACGCCGCGUGAGUGAUGAAGGUCUUCGGAUCGUAAAACUCUGUUAUUAGGGAAGAACAAAUGUGUAAGUAACUAUGCACGUCUUGACGGUACCUAAUCAGAAAGCCACGGCUAACUACGUG